rnacentral:ncRNA from 1 species
GUACGUGAGCUGGGUUUAGAACGUCGCGAGACAGUUCGGUCCCUAUCUACCAUGGGCGGAGGAGAUUUGCGGGGGGCUGACCUUAGUACGAGAGGACCGGGUUGGACGAACCUCUAGUGUACCAGUUGUCGCGCCAGCGGCAGCGCUGGGUAGCUACGUCCGGACGUGAGAAACGCUGAAGGCAUCUAAGCGUGAAACACUCCCCAAGAUGAGAUCUCCCAGGUCGCAAGACCUCUAAAGGCUCCUGGAAGAUUACCAGGUCGAUAGGUCGGGUGUGUAAGCGUGGCGACACGUUUAGCUAACCGAUACUAAUCAGCCGUGCGGCUUGACCAU